CAUCAUUACUCAGAUUUUAUUCAUGAUGGAUGCUGUGCAGGUUCAUGUGAAUAUUUUUUGGAUGUGUUUUUAUUUUGGGUAGUGGAAAUGUUAUGUCUUCUUUAUAAGGUAUUGCUUUAUGUACUACUUUGUUGCUUGUCCCUUUUUCUGUAGAUAGAAAGUCUGUAAGCACCUUUGGUAUUUGUCCCUUUCCUUUAGAAAGGAAGCCUGUA
rnacentral:lncRNA from 1 species